AGGCCUGCGCUUGGCUGACAAAGCCCUGGGCUCUCUGUGCGGGCUUCCCUCGUGCCCCCCACCCAGCACUGCCAGCCUGGCUGGGCACAGUCCACCCCUGUUGUUGCUGUACCGAGAGGAAGCUGUUUUGCCCAGACAAGACACUUAAGCUAAGUGGCUAUUGUUACAUCAAUGGGCCUUGCCACCCAGCACCCCGGCCUUGAGCCCCGUACACUCACUCCCACACAUUCACGCUCAUGUUUGCCAAGUCACAGGCCAAUGCCGGGGGAGGCAGAGCGGGAAGGGCCAGGUGGAAGGCUGCUCAGCACCAAUGACAACAUGAAACAGAGUUCUCAGCUUCAUCUUGUUGGCUGUCUCAGAUGUGUUCCUAUCGGAGCAGAUGAUAAGUGAGAGGUCACUGAAGGUGAACACCUGCAGGUCCCCAGAUUAAUCACGUUGUGUUUGCCAAGUGUCACCGAAAGCACGUCUUAGAGACAACGCAUCUUCAUCAGGUCCAGCCCUGGCCUGCGACUUCCCAGAAGUGGAGCCUUGACCCACAACUUCACUUUACUUCUCUCAAGCGGGAUCCAACAGAGAAAAAUUCCGCUCUGCCAGCCCCUUGGAGAUCAAAUGAAAUCAUGAGAUGGAUCUUGGGAAAUUCUGAAGUACUUUAAGGACAUUGGACAUAAUUACUAUAAGCUUAAAACUCCUU